UAUGCUUGCUGCAGCACCACUUUUGUUGACUACUUUUAGAGUAGGACAGUCCUAGGCAUUUAGACUAGAUAGGACAGCAUCAAAAAGGCAUCUUAGACUAGCAUAUGCCUUGAUGCUUGGCUGGUUGGCUACUUGGCUAGCUAUAAAUAUGUAUCCCCAACCCUUGGUUGGACAUGGCAUUGUGGAAAGAAAACCUAGAAAAUUGCCCCAACUCUUCCUAGUGCCAUCCUCUCGAUGAGAGUUACAGUUCAGAUCCUAACACAUUGAAGAAGAAGUAUUAACUUACACAAAGUUUUUGAUGCUUAAACUAUAGCCCACGCUUACUCUCACACCCACCACAUCAUCCAUCGAUGGCCAACAAUGUUCACUAAAGCCUGCAAACUUUCUUUAUCAACCUCAAUUUACCCACGUCACAGGUAUCCCCCAAUAGAAUUUUGAACCAAAUAGAAGCUCAACAUUGCAACAGUAAUCUAUUAGGUCCAAACUUCAAAGUUGUGUUUUGGAUUUCUGAAAAUCAGCUUGCAGUUUUGCACCUCAGAGUCUCGGACUCUUGGGUUGGAGUUGGUGAUAGUUUUGUAGUGUUAGUUUAUGAUUUACAAUUUUUUUUACCUCUGUUCCAGCUUAUACGUUGAUUGGUUUGAAGUCACUGUGUUUAUUAAGCUCAUUCCUCCUCUAUUUCCCCUCUAGCACUGCUUUGAGGUCGAGGCGUCAGUUGUUUCAUUUCUUUUUUUUUCAUCUCCCUUUCCUCUUCGUCAUGUUUUG
rnacentral:lncRNA from 1 species